AGCGAACAGACGAGGAGCUUGCUCCUCUGACGUUAGCGGCGGACGGGUGAGUAACACGUGGAUAACCUACCUAUAAGACUGGGAUAACUUCGGGAAACCGGAGCUAAUACCGGAUAAUAUAUUGAACCGCAUGGUUCAAUAGUGAAAGACGGUUUUGCUGUCACUUAUAGAUGGAUCCGCGCCGCAUUAGCUAGUUGGUAAGGUAACGGCUUACCAAGGCGACGAUACGUAGCCGACCUGAGAGGGUGAUCGGCCACACUGGAACUGAGACACGGUCCAGACUCCUACGGGAGGCAGCAGUAGGGAAUCUUCCGCAAUGGGCGAAAGCCUGACGGAGCAACGCCGCGUGAGUGAUGAAGGUCUUCGGAUCGUAAAACUCUGUUAUUAGGGAAGAACAAAUGUGUAAGUAACUAUGCACGUCUUGACGGUACCUAAUCAGAAAGCCACGGCUAACUACGUGCCAGCAGCCGCGGUAAUACGUAGGUGGCAAGCGUUAUCCGGAAUUAUUGGGCGUAAAGCGCGCGUAGGCGGUUUUUUAAGUCUGAUGUGAAAGCCCACGGCUCAACCGUGGAGGGUCAUUGGAAACUGGAAAACUUGAGUGCAGAAGAGGAAAGUGGAAUUCCAUGUGUAGCGGUGAAAUGCGCAGAGAUAUGGAGGAACACCAGUGGCGAAGGCGACUUUCUGGUCUGUAACUGA
rnacentral:rRNA from 1 species